rnacentral:rRNA from 1 species
UACGGAGGAUGCGAGCGUUAUCCGGAUUUAUUGGGUUUAAAGGGUGCGUAGGCGGUUUUUUAAGUUAGUGGUUAAACGUCGGGGCUUCACCUUGAUUUGCCAUUAAUACUGUAAGACUCGAGUUCAGACGAGGUAGGCGGAAUAAGUUAAGUAGCGGUGAAAUGCGUAGAUAUUAGGAGGAACACCAGUGGCGAAGGCGGCUUACUGGACGACAACUGACGCUGAGGCUCGAAAGCGUGGGGAGCAAACAGG